rnacentral:rRNA from 1 species
AUUGAACGCUAGCGGCAUGCCUUACACAUGCAAGUCGAACGGCAGCACGGGUGCUUGCACCUGGUGGCGAGUGGCGAACGGGUGAGUAAUAUAUCGGAACGUACCUUAUUGUGGGGGAUAACGCAGCGAAAGCUGUGCUAAUACCGCAUAAUCCCUAAGGGGGAAAGCGGGGGACCGUAAGGCCUCGCGCAAUUAGAGCGGCCGAUACCUGAUUAGCUAGUUGGUGAGGUAAAGGCUCACCAAGGCAACGAUCAGUAGCUGGUCUGAGAGGACGGUCAUCCACACUGGGACUGAGACACGGCCCAGACUCCUACGGGAGGCAGCAGUGGGGAAUUUUGGACAAUGGGGCAACCCUGAUCCAGCAAUGCCGCGUGAGUGAAGAAGGCCUUCGGGUUGUAAAGCUCUUUUGUCAGGGAAGAAACAGCAGCUCUAACACAGUUUGCGAAUGACGGUACCUGAAGAAUAAGCACCGGCUAACUACGUGCCAGCCGCCGCAGUAA